GGACGGGUGAGUAAUGUCUGGGAAACUGCCUGAUGGAGGGGGGUAACUACUGGAAACGGUAGCUAAUACCGCAUAACGUCGCAAGACCAAAGAGGGGGACCUUCGGGCCUCUUGCCAUCGGAUGUGCCCAGAUGGGAUUAGCUAGUAGGUGGGGUAAAGGCUCACCUAGGCGACGAUCCCUAGCUGGUCUGAGAGGAUGACCAGCCACACUGGAACUGAGACACGGUCCAG
rnacentral:rRNA from 1 species